GGAAGGCAGGAAUUUGCAGUAAACAGGAUGUUUGCUGGUCAGGAAGACAUCAAGGACUCGUCUAAGGACAGAUGACGGAACACCUUCAGGAUGAAGGCAGGACAUGCUCAGGAAGAGUAAGAGUCGAAACAUGAAGCUUCGACGGGUCAAGGUAAGACUAAAGGACACCUCCAGGACGGAGAGUUAAGGACAUCGCUGAAGGACUCAGCUGCUAAUCAAGGAAAUGAUGCAGGGAGCACAUUUCGUAGCGGGAUAGCUGCAAGUAAGACCUUAAGGGCACGACGAACGUCGUGCCCGUUCUUUUUUGU
rnacentral:other from 1 species